GGUUCUAUGGUGUAAUGGUUAGCACUCUGGACUUUGAAUCCAGCGAUCCGAGUUCAAAUCUUGGUAGGACCU
rnacentral:tRNA from 1 species